GCUUUUUUUCCCCUGCCAUCUAGUAGCUGAUCUGCCCCAAACAGCUUAGCGGUAGCUGCAGUGGAGUAAAUGUACUUGAAGAAAGCUGUUCCAGUGACUUUAUGGACGCUUCGUCUAUGUUUGGUACUGCUCUGACCUUUCCCAGUAUAAAAUGAGCCACUCACGCAUCAGAGUCAUUGAUCAGCAUGAUCGUCCGUUUUACAUCCAAAUCAGAAUCGACUCAUUAGCGUUCGCGAAUGUGCCAGAGCGCAAGGCUUUCCCGACGAUUUUCAUUUUCGCGGCUGCCGCCGCAAAAGAUACAUGCAGGUCGGUAACGCUGUCCCUCCCAUUCUGGCAACGGCCAUUGGAAGGGAAAUCGUAAAAACAGCGAGGAUCGUUGUCGUUGCGAGGCUACCACGUCGACUGAUCCGUAAAUGCAGCCAAAGGGUUUAUGCAAUAUUCCCAAA